AACGAACGCUGGCGGCAGGCUUAACACAUGCAAGUCGAACGCGUGUAGCAAUACACGAGUGGCGCACGGGUGAGUAACGCGUGGAUAUCUGCCUUUUGGUUCGGAAUAACUCCGGGAAACUGGAGCUAAUACCGGAUGGUUCCUUCGGGAUAAAGAUUUAUCGCCAAAAGAUGAGUCCGCGUACGAUUAGCUAGUUGGUGAGGUAAUGGCUCACCAAGGCGACGAUCGUUAGCUGGUCUGAGAGGACGAUCAGCCACACUGGGACUGAGACACGGCCCAGACUCCUACGGGAGGCAGCAGUGGGGAAUAUUGGACAAUGGGGGCAACCCUGAUCCAGCCAUGCCGCGUGAGUGAUGAAGGCCUUCGGGUUGUAAAGCUCUUUUGGCGGGGACGAUGAUGACGGUACCCGCAGAAUAAGCCCCGGCUAACUUCGUGCCAGCCGCCGCCGUAA
rnacentral:rRNA from 1 species